rnacentral:lncRNA from 1 species
UCGGGCUCGCAGGGCCGAAGGCUCCGAAGACUGAGACCUGUGAACCAUGGGGAGGCUCCAUGCGGAUGCGGGCCACAGCCCCCGCCGGAGCCCCCACACUAGCCCUGGACUUCUCCACUGGCUUACGACAUGAGAGCUCAAUAUGCUCCUUAUUUAACGCACUGUUGUAUCAGGUCCCUGUGGGAGCCACUGGCUCUAUGGCCUAAUAAAGGAGCGGGUGCACGCACUGGAUUGGUGAGCUACCGCCACUGCAACGCGUCCUAAUCAACCAUCCUAAACGGCGGCUGGAACAAGGUUCUCGCAGGCCUGUGCUUGGGCUUGAACGCUGGUCCAGCCGCUGCGCUCUGUGGCUCCCUGUAGGCCUGCGGAUCAGCCAGGGGCCUCCGUUCCUUUUGGGCGGAGGCUGAAGAAGCAGCGGCUGCACCAGAGAAGGCCCUCUGGGUGAAGGUGGGAGCGCACGGGGCCCGCGGAACCACCUAAGGCGACUUCAGACGUGGGCUCGGAACUGGCAGCCUUUGGUUUCUGCUUCAUUCCAAGGCCAGAGCAAUCCACAUGGGCAAACCCAAAGCCAGGGGACAGGAAAGUAUCCUCCACCCACAACGAAACCAUGGCAAGCGGUGGAUGCAGGUACCGCCAAUAGUCUAUCUAUCCCGGUGAGUGAGGAGACCUGCUUUGAGGGUUGCACAACCUGGAUCUGCUUUUACAGUGGUGUCUAUCACUAUGAAGACUCCACCAUGGGUCGCCAUCAGGUCAGGGACCCUGACAAGGCAAGAACUGCAUCUUCCUCUGCACACAGCUCUGCUCCCUUCCCCGCCAUGCCUAACACCAAGCCCAGCCCUGAGGGAUGACUCAGGAAUAUUACUGAGAGCGUUUUAGGCCAUUCCUUCAUUAUCCCCAUGUGACUUGUUAUGAAAUAUAGACUGACUUCCUGAAGAUCAGCACAUAGUGCUAAGUAUUUGGCUUGUAAUCUGUAGAGACUCUGCCAUUUGGAGCUGGGAUCUGUCCCCAGAGCUGUCAGACACCAAAUCCCGUAUCUACUGCCACCCAAAGGGACCUCCAGAAGAAAGGGGUUAUACAGGGUCAAACACCAAGGCAGGUUAGUGAAAUUUCUCUAGAGGCCAUUUAAAGCUGGAGUCUCACCACCUGAAUUGCCCUCAGAGGAAGGCUGUCUAGGGCACAAACCUAGUCAGGGGUCCACAUGGACUUAAGGACAAUUUUUUUUUUUUUUUUUUUUUUGAGAAACUCUCAUUCUGUCAUCAAGGCUCGAGUACAGUGGUGUGAACUCAGCUCACUGCAAGUCUCAACCUCCUGGGCUCAGCUCCUAAGACACACUAGCCACAUAUCAAGUGCUCAACUGCCCCGUGUGGCUAAUGGCUUCCAAACUGGCAGCACAGGCAACUGUUUUCAUCACUGAAGUUCUGUUGGACAAGAAUACCUCUGGAAGCACACACGAGAAACUGGUAAUGGCGGUUGCCUUCGGGGAGGGAAACUGGGAGAGUGCAGGGCUGUAUGCCCUUUUGUACCUCUUGAAUUUCAUAUCAUGUGUUUGUACUAGGUGUUUACAAAUUAUUUUAAAAACAUACUGGGAAUUAGGAAUCCCCGUAUGGAAUCACUGCAGUGGGACACUGAUUCCCAAAAAAUUACUUUGCAAUUUGCCUAAAACAAAUUAAGCUAAUAGCUAUCAUGAUUUCAUAUUUAAUAUUUUUUCCCAGCUUAGAGUUUUUUUUAGCUCCUGUUGCUAUCUCUCUGCUCUUAUGAGCUCACAGGGUGACAAAGUGAAUUAGUAAGUAGCAGGAGAACAUUAAAGGAAAAACUCCUGGGCAACAGGGUAAAACGCCGGCUCUACAGAAAAUACAAAACAUUAGCCAGGCAUGGUGGCAUGCACCUAUGGUCUUAGCGACUUGGGAGGCUGAGGUGGGAGGAUCGCUUGAGCCCGGAAGGCGGUAACUCAAUCCCAGCAGAAUCCCAGGGAGCGAAAGUGGCUCAUCCCAAA